rnacentral:rRNA from 1 species
UGCCAGCAGCCGCGGUAAUACGGAGGGUGCGAGCGUUAAUCGGAAUUACUGGGCGUAAAGCGCGCGUAGGUGGAUUAUUAAGUUAGGGGUGAAAUCCCAGGGCUCAACCCUGGAACUGCCUUUAAAACUGUUAGUCUUGAGAUCGAGAGAGGUGAGUGGAAUUCCAAGUGUAGAGGUGAAAUUCGUAGAUAUUUGGAGGAACACCAGUGGCGAAGGCGGCUCACUGGCUCGAUACUGACGCUGAGGUGCGAAAGUGUGGGGAGCAAACAGGAUUAGAUA